GCACUGCCAACACAAGGUGGCCCCAAUCAAAAAGCCAUGAGAGCAACUCUGUGGGCAUGGACAUCCUACCCAUGGCAGACCAGCCACAUGGGAGGAAGCCACGGAGCCACAGAGGAGUUGCCGGAAGGACAGUGAGCCCAGGUGAAGAGAGGCAGCCCUGCCUGUUCUGAGGACUGGGACACUGCUGUUCCCCUGGCCACCAUGUAGAAGCCUAGACUCGGCCGUGCUGUGAGCAGCCCAGGAGUAUGCAGAGGCCACACUGAUCCUCUGCCCCCUGAUUGCACGAUGGGAGCCACCUCAGCCCAGUCACCAAAGAGGUGUGUGGCAGCAUCUCUAUAUCAUCCCAGUGCCAGCCACGGAGCAUCCUGGCCCAGAGGUCAGCACAGCUGAGUACUGAGGACCAGGGCCAUGCCUCAGCCCAAGUGGACCUGGCCUACGGCCUGAGCCCCAUAGCUAACAUCUCUGUGGCCUCUCUGCCUCCUCCUCAGUCAUCCAGGAUACAGUCUACCCCAGCCCAAUGCAGUCUGCUUCCAGGGUGUCUCAAACUCAGCCUGUCUUUUCCCCAUGCGCCAUCAGCACUGUAGAGCAGAUUUAUUCAUGGCACGGAUGUUGGGGACACUCAGCGCCAAGGGCAGAGGUGCGGGCAUUAUAGACACCAGAGGUGCGGGGCCAAUGCAGAGGGCUUUGAAGGUGAGAGCAGGAAGGGGAUUCAGGAGCAGAACACGGACACAGUCAAGGGAUCAAAUGAGCCAGCCUCUGCCCCAGAGCAGCCGGCUGAGGACUGAUUUGGUGACAGCCCCGGGGACAGCGCUGCCGUGUGGCCAGCACAGUCAGCAGAGCUUCAGCGUAGUGACCCAUGUGAUUCUCUGAGAGUGCUUGGUGCCCAGUGCUGCUCUUCCUCUUCCUGCUGUCAGGAUCACUGGGAUUUUAUACAGGAGGAGGAGGAGACCCCUCACCUCAUAUCACUUUUAUUGUAGCACAUCACCAACACCCCUUUGUCUGAGGGGCUGGCGCUAAUGUGCCAGAUUUCACCCGCUUGGUGGAGGAGGACGUUCUUAUUUAUAAAGUUGUUUUCAUCCUCAAAAAAAAAAAAUACAAAAGACAUCAAUUAGCAACCUUUCCCAAUGGACCUGGAAGAACUAGGGGACUCCAGAGAAAGCCAAGCAUGUGCUGCACAGUCUGCCCGUUCUUUGCCGAUUGUGAAGGAUUUUGCUUUGUUGUAUGUAACAUAUGCUGCUUCUAGAAAACUCUUCCUGAAUGCUCAGGAAUUUUGGGGGGCAGCACCCAUAGAACAUCAAGGAAACAAGCCUGCUAUAACUGUCAUACAGAGAGUUUUCCAGGUUGUUCAGUUUUUACAUGAAGAAGGGAAGUGAUGGGGAGCAAGUCAAACCCACAGUGAGUUUGCUGCAGAUGACACUGAGAUGGCACUGUGCUGCUCUAUGUGGAUCUAGAACGUUUCCCAAAGACUCGUACGUUAAAGGCUUGGUCCUCAGCUUGGCGCUGUUGGAAGGUGGUGGAACCUUUAAGAUGUGGGAAUUAGUGGGGGGGUUAUGUCAUUGGGUGCAUCCCCUUAAAAGGGACUGUGGGAUGCUGGGUUCUUCCUCUCUGUUUCCUUUCUAGCCACCAUAAAGUGAGCCGCUUGCUCUACCACAUGCUCCCCUCUAUGAUGUGUUCCCUCUAUGAUGUCUUCCCUCAACAUAGGUCCAAAUGCAAGAGGGCCUACUUACUGCUCAUUGAUUGAAACCUCUGAACUUUUGUUGUGCAUCUGCUUUGGAUUAUAGAUGUGGUUCAGGAAAGUCAGUUCAACUAAAAUGAUGUGAAUGUAUCCCUGUGCCACCAGUUCCAAGAACUGAACAGAAAGGGCUCAGUAGAUGUUCUUGAUGGCUGAGAGCUGGACAUUUAAAUGACCUGGGACAGGAGAUAAUUGCAUUACUUAUACAUUGAAGCAACCCA